rnacentral:snRNA from 1 species
AUAUUUUUCUCGGCCUUUUGGCUAAGAUUAAGUGUAGUGAGUCAUUUACUCACAUGACAUUAACUCUGUAUUUUUAGGGGAAGGUCUAUCACGAUAGCUUGCUAUCGGGAUCUUCAAUCAUCGCCAUGGUGUUGCAUUAUAAUCUUGGCCUGGUGCACCCCAC